AUACGAACCGUCCAAACGUUAUUCGGAAUCAUGGGGCUUAAAGGGUGCGUAGGCGGUACGGUCAGUUGGGUGUGAAAUCCCUCGGCUCAACCGAGGAACUGCGCCCAAUACUGCCGAACUCGAGGGAGACAGAGGUAAGCGGAACUGAUGGUGGAGCGGUGAAAUGCGUUGAUAUCAUCAGGAACACCAGUGGCGAAGGCGGCUUACUGGGUCUCUUCUGACGCUGAGGCACGAAAGCUAGGGUAGCGAACGGGAUUAGAAACCCGAGUAGUCC
rnacentral:rRNA from 1 species